rnacentral:rRNA from 1 species
AUGAAGGAUCUAGGAGUAGAUGAUGUUAUCUUAAACAUCAAGCUGUUGAGAGAUGAGAAUGGUGGGAUCACACUGCUUCAGUCUCACUAUGUGAAAAAGAUCUUGAGUCGUUUUGGGUAUAGCGACUGCACGCCUUCUCCAACUCCAUAUGACGCUAGUGUGUUGCUUCGAAAGAAUCGACGGAUUGCUAGAGAUCAACUGAGGUAUUCUCAGAUUAUUGGCUCGCUUAUGUAUUUGGCGAGUGCCACGAGGCCCGACAUCUCUUUUGCUGUAAGCAAGCUGAGUCGGUUUGUGUCAAAACCGGGAGAUGAUCAUUGGCAUGUGCUUGAGAGAGUUAUGCGCUAUUUGAAAGGCACUGCGAGCUAUGGGAUUCACUACAUCGGGUAUCCAAGGGUACUAGAGGGUUAUAGUGACUCAAACUGGAUAUCUGAUGCUGAUGAGAUUAAGGCCACAAGUGGUUAUGUUUUUACACUUGGUGGUGGCGCUGUUUCCUGGAAGUCUUGCAAGCAGACCAUCUUAACGAGGUCAACUAUGGAAGCAGAACUCACAGCAUUAGACACUGCCACUGUUGAAGCAUAG